UUUCCGUAGGUGAACCUGCGGAAGGAUCAUUCAUGUUUAUAAAACAGCCUUUUAGGGGGGGUGUUGUGUGGAACGCGCUUCCGAGUGCUUUUGCAUGCAUUCUUCCUAAGAGGCUACAACCAUUCCGGUGACCAUUGUAAUCCAUUUUUGCAAAACGGUGCGCGCUCUCGGGCGAGGCGCUGUUUUGUCUUUCUACUUUUUUUUUAAAACCCACCAUGAAAAACCACAACAGAAACGAAACCAAGAAAAUAAAACUCGUGACGGAGGAUAUCUUGGCUCCCACAUCGAUGAAGAACGCAGCGAAAUGCGAUACGUAGUGUGAAUUGCAGAACACGUGAGUCAUCGAAUCUUUGAACGCAAGUGGUGCUCGUGGGCAAUCCUGCGAGCAUGUCUGUUUGAGUGUCCGCACAAAUUACUCGCUCCCCUUUUGCUUCUCUUUUUGGAUUUAUUCGAAGAGUGCAACGAAAGGGUGGCGGCGAUUGGGUUUUUAAUAUAUAUCUGCUUCACUGCGGAAGACCCGGAAUGCAGUGCUUGGAAGUACACAUGGGGCGUCAGCUCUAUGUUUCCGUGUGCAUCAACAUAUCUGCGCGACUAUCUAGCGCGGAAAUCCAGUGUUUAAAACAGCAAGCAAUGCGUGGUGCUCUUGUAGCGUCCGCUGCGCUGAAAAGAAAGGAAGUCUGGACGGGAUGACCGUUUCAGAGCUCUCUGCUGGGAAGUAACUACAUUCCAGGGGGGCGAUGAGAUGGAUGUUUUUGAGCCGGACUGCCAGGAAAAAACUUUUCGGGGCACAUGGUGGGAAAAUCGAUGGAGAAGUGGAGCCAUUAUUUAUGGUGUACAGUUCUGUGUUGGUAUCCUGCGGUGUAAAAGGCGGUGCGUGAAUGGGUGCUGUACACUACAUGCGCAGUGCGUCACUGGCGGACUUUAUUUUCGGAUCUCAAAUCAGGCAAGACU
rnacentral:rRNA from 1 species